AAAUUUUUUGUUUUUAAGUCAAAAUGCCCUUUGAUUGAAAGGAAAUGUUCAGGAUAAGAGCGGUCCCUCCUGUUGGCCAUCUUGUUGUCCCCACUGCCCCAGCUCUUGGCAUGGGCACUCUCCCUCUGGGUGGUACCUGAACACCGCCUUGUUGGCGUGCCUGGCUGUCUCUCCUAGGUUGGGAGGGAGCUUUAGCCUUCUCCAUUUUCCCUGAGGACAUGUUUACUUAUUGC
rnacentral:lncRNA from 1 species